rnacentral:rRNA from 1 species
GAAUAUUGGACAAUGGGCGAAAGCCUGAUCCAGCCAUGCCGCGUGUGUGAAGAAGGUCUUCGGAUUGUAAAGCACUUUAAGUUGGGAGGAAGGGUUGUAACCUAAUACGUUGCAACUUUGACGUUACCGACAGAAUAAGCCCCGGCUAACUCCGUGCCAGCCGCCGCGGUAAUACGAAGGGUGCAAGCGUUAAUCGGAAUUACUGGGCGUAAAGCGCUCGUAGGUGGUUUGUUAAGUUGGAUGUGAAAUCCCCGGGCUCAACCUGGGAACUGCAUUCAAAACUGACAAGCCAGAGUAUGGUAGAGGGUGGUGGAAUUUCCUGUGUAGCGGUGAAAUGCGUAGAUAUAGGAAGGAACACCAGUGGCGAAGGCGACCACCUGGACUGAUACUGACACUGAGGUGCGAAAGCGUGGGGAGCAAACAGG